rnacentral:tRNA from 1 species
GGAGGGGUGGCAGAGUGGUCGAUUGCGGCGGUCUUGAAAACCGUUAGGGUUCACGCCCUCGGGGGUUCGAAUCCCUCCCCCUCCGCCA